AUGGUCCUGAAGCUCCUCCUCCUCCUCCUCCCUGAUGGGGGAAGUAGCCUCCCAUUGGCCGUCCUCCCCGUCACUCUCGCUGCCCGACUGUUCAUCAUAGCGGUGCAGCCGGGACCCAACAGACACCUGUCGAAGGGGUGUGGCCUGAUGAAAGGGCAUAGCAUGAGUGGGUGUGGUCAGAUGAAAGGGCGUGGCAUGUGUGGGUGUGGUCUGAUGAAAGGGCGUGGCAUUUGUGGGUGUGGUCAGAUUGUUGACUGUAUCCUGGUAAAGAGGUGUGACAAGAGGAGUGGGUGUGGCCUGGUAAAGAGGUGUGACAAGAGGAGUGGGUGUGGUCUGGUGAAAGGGCGUGGCAUUUGUGGGUGUGGUCUGCUGAAAGGGCGUGGCAUUUGUGGGUGUGGUCAGAUUGUUGACUGUAUCCUGGUAAAGAGGUGUGACAAGAGGAGUGGGUGUGGCCUGGUAAAGAGGUGUGACAAGAGGAGUGGGUGUGGUCUGGUGAAAGGGCGUGGCAUGUGUGGGUGUGGUCUGAUUGUUGACUGUAUCCUGGUAAAGAGGUGUGACAAGAGGAGUGGGUGUGGCCUGAUGUGGUCGCUCAGACCAGUACGGCAGGAUCCCAGCCUGUGAGCCCUCAGCAGGGCGGGGCCUACAGCUCUCCGACAGGGAGUUCUGAGUGGCCAGAGGGGGGUUCCACUGGGUCUCCGCCCACACCCCAUCCCUCUGCCAAUGAAAGCUCUUAGAGGGGGGAUGGGAGGGGCUUCGGUCCAUCAUAAACUCCCUUUCUUGCCCCCCACUCUCCCUCGUACCCUGGUCCUCUUCCUGCCGUGCGUCCGUCACACACUCCUGGCCUCUCUCCAGCUCUGAUUGGCUGCUAUCACAGUGCUCUGAUUGGUUCUGACCCACACACUCCUGGCCUCCUCUGCCUCUCCUCUCGUCUCGGCCCUGCUCCUCCCAGCGAGUCUUCAUCUGGGUUUCUCUUCCGUCCCAUUGGCUCUGAUCUCUCUCCAGCUCUGAUUGGCUCCUCCCACAGUCAUCUGAUUGGUUCUGACCCUUCUCACUGUGCUUGGAUUGGUUCCCAUCCCUCUGCUGCUCUGAUUGGUUCCCAUCCCUUUCACUGAAUUGGAUCUGGCACUGUACCUCUUCACUGUGCUCUGAUUGGCUCUGCUCCCUCAUGGUCUGUUCUGAUUGGCUCUGCUCUCUAAUGACCAGGCUUGCAUGGUGCUCGUCUUGUCUCUGUUGGUCGGGUGUGGGUGUGAGGAGCGGUCUGGUGAGCUCUAAGACCCUUGGCUGGUCUGGAGGUGAAGGGGCGCCCCCUCCUGGGGGGUGGGGGAAGUCCUCAGGGCUCUGGGCUUCAGAGGGCCACACCCUCCAGUCUGGUUCGUGAUGGUGGUGGUGGUGGUGGACACUCUCUACAUUCCGAUUGGCUGGCUCUUUGUGUUGUCCGACUGUCUCUUUCAGCUGAUGGCUCUCUUCUACCUGCUGAUUGGUUGCAUCACUUAGCUGGUGGAUCAUCUCUUCCAGAUAAUUGGCUGUCUCUUCCAGCUGGUGGAUCCUUUCUCCCUGCUGAUUGGUUUUCUCUCCCCGUGGGCUAGAUCUCUCUCCCUGCUCACUGGACCCCACUCCCAAA
rnacentral:lncRNA from 1 species